rnacentral:ncRNA from 1 species
AAAAAGAGCCCUUAUUGGCUCUUAGAAUGAAGAUAAACCCGAUUUUCUAUUUAAACAAGUUGCAAAGCUCUGCUCACUUAGCAUUCGUUUUGCCGAUUUUCACGAGCGGAGCGAGCCUCAUCAGAUACUUUUCGCUGUGGUAAAAGUAGCGUCACCAUUAGUAGUGACGCUACUCGGAAAUGUUGAGACCCUAGGCUCAACAUUUAGGUAUGGAAUGCCGCAGGAAGUCGCUACCGGCCGAGCCACCUAAGAAAAGUAUCACAAAAGAAUGUUUUCUGCAAUCUGAAAGCCUUAUUGGCUCUUGGUUU